AGGUUAUUGGGCAGCAUCCCUGACGUCUCUCCACUAAAUGCCGAUGGCAGCCUUCCAUCUACUCUUGCUGUGACCACCAAAUGUAUCCUGGGGGAACAAAAUUCCCACAGCCGAGAAUCCCUGAGCAGCGAAAUUGAAUUUUCUGGCACCUCUCUGCAGAAUAUCAUCUGAUUCUGGGCAAUCAAUUUGAGACAGCUGACUGGGGUCAGAAGAGCAGUCUGUGACUGUGGAACCGAGCAGAUUUCAUUGGAACAAAGUGACAGAGGGAUGGAGAAGGAUCCAACUCAAACUUUAGGUUUCCUGUAUACCAUGGAGCCCAGCCACCCACAAGCCACAGUCUGUCAGAAGAUACCAGAGACGAGAUCACUCUCCAGGGGACACUUAAGCCAUUCAUAUAAUCACCUGCUGGUACAUGUUGGCUUUCCAAGCCUAAUUAGUUUGUGAAGAGUGCUAAUGAAGAUGGGCAUUUGCUUGUAUGGACAGGCUAAGGAUGGUCCAGCAUCCUUAAGUGGUCAAAGGAUAAGGCAGUGAUGGUUAGAAGAACCAAGAUGUCAUAGGGGCCAGACUGCUCAAUAUUAUUGAAGA
ensembl:lncRNA